UACGUAGGGGGCCAGCGUUGUCCGGAAUUAUUGGGCGUAAAGAGCGUGUAGGCGGUCCGGUAAGUCAGCUGUGAAAGUCAAGGGCUCAACCCUUGAAAGCCGGUUGAUACUGUCGGGCUAGAGUCCGGAAGAGGCGAGUGGAAUUCCCGGUGUAGCGGUGAAAUGCGCAGAUAUCGGGAGGAACACCAAUGGCGAAGGCAGCUCGCUGGGACGGUACUGACGCUGAGACGCGAAAGCGUGGGGAGCAAACAGG
rnacentral:rRNA from 1 species